CGUGUAGGCGGUUGGUUAAGUCGGAUGUGAAAGCCCGGGGCUCAGCUCCGGAAGGGCAUCCGAAACUGGCUAGCUAGAGCACGGUAGAGGAGGGUGGAAUUCCUGGUGUAGCGGUGAAAUGCGUAGAUAUCAGGAGGAACACCGGCGGCGAAGGCGGCCCUCUGGACCGUUGCUGACGCUGAGACGCGAAAGCGUGGGGAGCAAACAGGAUUAGAUACCCUGGUAGUCCACGCUGUAAACGAUGGGUACUAGGUGUUCGGGGUGUUGACCCCCUGAGUGCCGAAGCUAACGCAUUAAGUACCCCGCCUGGGGACUACGGCCGCAAGGUUAAA
rnacentral:rRNA from 1 species